AUCUCCGAUUAUGUUGUUUCUCUUCGCGUUGUUUCCUCACAAUGAAUUCACAGUCGCCGAAACAAUUUUCAUUAAGCGCGUUCACGUCCACUGUGCAGAGAGCGGCUAAUGCAGCAACAUUCAUCACGUUAGAACUCCGUUUUAUCGAGGAUAGGAGAAGAGGCAUUCGAGUGGAACGAUUUCAAUGGGUCAUCGAAUAUGCGCAUACACGCGGGACGUGUCAUUUCGCUGAAGUACCAUGCAAAAUACUUUCUUCUCUGGUACAGUCAAAACAUUAUUCCCCCUCUUCUAAUCGACGAAUAACGAUAUCUCGUAGCGAUACCAUCGGCAGAACAUCAUUGUCUUUCCGUGACGAUACAUUUUCAAUUUAUUGGUACGAGUAAACACGGCACGUUUCCUCCUCUAAUUUGAGUUGAACAGCGUUAACGAUAAAAACCGUCCAAGGGAGAUCGAAAGAAAUGAAAUUCUCAGAGAAUUUUAAAGUCGAGAAAGGCGAUGUCUUUGAAAACGGGCUUUGUUCCAAGGCGCUAUGGCUUUUCAUCGUGAAAAUAUCCGUCUUUGAAGAUCGUAAUGCGAUCGAUUAUCUAGGUGCUUAUGCGCCGAACACUGGAAAAAGGAAAAGAAAAGAAAUAAAGAAAAGAGAGAGAGAGAGAGAAAGAGAGAGAGAGAGAGAGAGAGAGAGACAGAGAGAGAGAGAGAGAGAGAGAGCGAUUUACCACAAGGAAGAACCAACCUUCCACACCAAUCGUUCGUAUCAAACUGGGUCAAGAUGUUCACCGAGACGAUUUUUUCUCCGUAUUCAGGAAUAAAGCGUGCCGAAACGUACAGUCAACGGAUUAUCCCUAUCUCACCACGUUUACCUAACUCAUGUCUUUCCUUACUCUAACCAUCGAA